rnacentral:rRNA from 1 species
UACGUAGGGGGGCAAGCGUUGUCCGGAUUUAUUGGGCGUAAAGAGCGUGUAGGCGGCCGUACAGGUCAGCUGUGAAAACUCGAGGCUCAACCUCGAGACGUCGGUUGAAACCGUACGGCUAGAGUCCGGAAGAGGAGAGUGGAAUUCCCGGUGUAGCGGUGAAAUGCGCAGAUAUCGGGAAGAACACCCGUGGCGAAGGCGGCUCUCUGGGACGGUACUGACGCUGAGACGCGAAAGCGUGGGGAGCGAACAGG